rnacentral:rRNA from 1 species
UACGAAGGGGGCUAGCGUUGUUCGGAAUUACUGGGCGUAAAGCGCACGUAGGCGGAUAUUUAAGUCAGGGGUGAAAUCCCAGAGCUCAACCCCGGAACUGCCUUUGAUACUGGUAGUCUUGAGUUCGAGAGAGGUGAGUGGAAUUCCGAGUGUAGAGGUGAAAUUCGUAGAUAUUCGGAGGAACACCAGUGGCGAAGGCGGCUCACUGGCUCGAUACUGACGCUGAGGUGCGAAAGCGUGGGGAGCAAACAGG